rnacentral:rRNA from 1 species
UACGAAGGGGGCUAGCGUUGCUCGGAAUUACUGGGCGUAAAGCGCACGUAGGCGGAUUGCUAAGUCAGGGGUGAAAUCCUGGAGCUCAACUCCAGAACUGCCUUUGAUACUGGCGACCUUGAGUCCGGGAGAGGUGAGUGGAACUGCGAGUGUAGAGGUGAAAUUCGUAGAUAUUCGCAAGAACGCCAGUGGCGAAGGCGGCUCACUGGCCCGGUACUGACGCUGAGGUGCGAAAGCGUGGGGAGCAAACAGG